rnacentral:misc_RNA from 1 species
GGCAAAUUCUCUCCAAUAUCACCUGUAGUUGACACUGGACCUGUAUUUACUUGUGGGCUUAUCGAUGUUUGAGUUUUUUUUAUCCCUAAGCUCGCAUUGAUCCAAAAGCUAAUUAGGGCCCUUAAUAUUUAAUAUCUCAACAAUCUCCUUUGGAUUUGGGCCCGCCACUAUUACACCAGGUUUAAAGAGAUUGCAAGCAAGAUGUACUAGAAAGUCAAAGGGUCUAGGCUCACAAAUUUGAGGAUCAAGUGGGUUCGGCUGUGAAAUUUUGAGACCACACAAAUCAGCUUGGAAGGAUCGUUUCCUUAGGGCCCAAGUGUUUAACUUAUUUGGGUUAUCUGAGCACACCUGGACCUCCGGAUUUGAAGCAUACCAAGUCCU